rnacentral:rRNA from 1 species
GAGUUUGAUCCUGGCUCAGAUUGAACGCUGGCGGCAGGCCUAACACAUGCAAGUCGAACGGAAACAUGUCUAGCUUGCUAGAUGAUGUCGAGUGGCGGACGGGUGAGUAAUGCUUGGGAACUUGCCUUUGCGAGGGGGAUAACAGUUGGAAACGACUGCUAAUACCGCAUAAUGUCUUCGGACCAAACGGGGCUUCGGCUCCGGCGCAAAGAGAGGCCCAAGUGAGAUUAGCUAGUUGGUGAGGUAAAGGCUCACCAAGGCAACGAUCUCUAGCUGUUCUGAGAGGAAGAUCAGCCACACUGGGACUGAGACACGGCCCAGACUCCUACGGGAGGCAGCAGUGGGGAAUAUUGCACAAUGGGGGAAACCCUGAUGCAGCCAUGCCGCGUGUGUGAAGAAGGCCUUCGGGUUGUAAAGCACUUUCAGUUGUGAGGAAAAGUUAGUAGUUAAUACCUGCUAGCCGUGACGUUAACAACAGAAGAAGCACCGGCUAACUCCGUGCCAGCAGCCGCGGUAAUACGGAGGGUGCGAGCGUUAAUCGGAAUUACUGGGCGUAAAGCGCACGCAGGCGGUUUGUUAAGCUAGAUGUGAAAGCCCCGGGCUCAACCUGGGACGGUCAUUUAGAACUGGCAGACUAGAGUCUUGGAGAGGGGAGUGGAAUUCCAGGUGUAGCGGUGAAAUGCGUAGAUAUCUGGAGGAACAUCAGUGGCGAAGGCGACUCCCUGGCCAAAGACUGACGCUCAUGUGCGAAAGUGUGGGUAGCGAACAGGAUUAGAUACCCUGGUAG